GAGUAACCUGCCCUAACUCCGGGAUAGCCCGGGAACCGGGUCCAAUACCGGAUGGAGCGUCCACCGCAUGGUGGGUGUUGGAAGGAUUUAUCGGUUUUGGAGGGACUCGCGGCCUAUCAGCUUGUUGGUGAGGUAAUGGCUCACCAAGGCGACGACGGGUAGCCGGCCUGAGAGGGUGACCGGCCACACUGGGACUGAGACACGGCCCAGACUCCUACGGGAGGCAGCAGUGGGGAAAUAUUGCACAAUGGGCGAAAGCCUGAUGCAGCGACGCCGCGUGAGGGAUGACGGCCUUCGGGUUGUAAACCUCUUUCAGUAGGGAAGAAGCGAAAUGUGACGGUACCUACAGAAGACGCACCGGCUAACUACGUGCCAGCAGCCGCGGUA
rnacentral:rRNA from 1 species